rnacentral:piRNA from 1 species
UACAGUGAAUGUUAAGUUGGGUGAAGUUU